UACGUAGGGGGCGAGCGUUGUCCGGAUUUAUUGGGCGUAAAGAGCUCGUAGGCGGUUCGAUAAGUCGGAUGUGAAAUCUCCACGCUCAACGUGGAGGGGCCAUUCGAUACUGCCGUGACUCGAGUCCGGUAGGGGAGUGUGGAAUUCCCGGUGUAGCGGUGAAAUGCGCAGAGAUCGGGAGGAACACCCGUAGCGAAGGCGGCACUCUGGGCCGGUACUGACGCUGAGGAGCGAAAGCGUGGGGAGCAAACAGG
rnacentral:rRNA from 1 species